GAUGAAGGGCGUCUUGAUGAGGCAACAGCCACGUCACGACAUAGCAAUGUGUCAUGUAAUUUUCUCGAUUUUCUUCUUCAAGUCAAAUUUUGAUUGUAAUGCCCAAUUUUAGCCCGGGCCCAGUACUAAAAAUAAACAAUUAAAAAACACAAAAAAAGAAGAAGAAGAAAACCAAAAUAAUUAAACAAAAUGUCCACAGUCCAGGUCUUUAGUACAAAAUAGCCCAAAUAUACUGUACAAGCCCAAUAUUCAACCCAACCUAAGUCUACUAAGACCCUAAAACCAAAUUAACCCAAUUACAACCCAAAGCUACAAGGCCCAAACGACUCAAAAUACUUUAGAAACAGAAACUCUAGGGUUUUUCUGCCUUGUGCCGCAGCCUUUAGCCGCCAUACAGCCCCAACGCUAUUUGUGCCUUCACGUCAACACGCCGUAUGCCACCCACAUGCCUAGUGCCAGCACACGCUCCCUACCUGCGAAAGAAAACAAGAAAACAGCAGCAGAGCAGAAACCAAUAGAGAAAACAAAUUUUUUUGUAUUUUUUUUCUUUUGAUUAUUCGGCUAUAAAGCCCUUUUAUUUUUUAUUGUAAGGGUUCCUUUUUUUUACACGCACAUUACGCACACUAAAAUACAUACUGAAUAGAAAAUUCAGAAACAAUUGCAAGAAGGUGAUUUCGAAUGCCUUGUAUUUAUUUCUUUCGCAUCUGUUUCAUCUUCCUUUCGUGUUUCGCAUGUGUUUUUUAGUAUAAUGAAGUAAAAAAGAAAACAUACCUUAAAACGAGCCAUCGGAGACCACAUAUUCUUCGUUGAAAUUGAAGCUUGAGAUAGGUUUUCGGGGCUAAAAAUCUGACCUUUUGAGGCGAAGUUUAGAAUAGAGAAAUGGAACGAUUUCAUUGCUAGCCAUUAUUCGUCGAUUUCAAUGGUGGAAUAGUGGUAGUUGAAUGGACAAAGGGGGAUGGAAAAGCCUCAAAGCUGUGGCACCGAAACCCUAGCAAAUGGGUACUCGGUUUGUGGCUUGAAAAAUGGUUGAUUGCCAUUCUUUUUUUU
rnacentral:lncRNA from 1 species